rnacentral:rRNA from 1 species
CCUACGGGCGGCAGCAGUCGAGAAUCAUUCACAAUGGGGGAAACCCUGAUGGUGCGACGCCGCGUGGGGGAAUGAAGGUCUUCGGAUUGUAAACCCCUGUCAUGUGGGAGCAAAUUAAAAAGAUAGUACCACAAGAGGAAGAGACGGCUAACUCUGUGCCAGCAGCCGCGGGAAUACAGAGGUCUCAAGCGUUGUUCGGAAUCACUGGGCGUAAAGCGUGCGUAGGCUGUUUCGUAAGUCGUGUGUGAAAGGCGCGGGCUCAACCCGCGGACGGCACAUGAUACUGCGAGACUAGAGUAAUGGAGGGGGAACCGGAAUUCUCGGUGUAGCAGUGAAAUGCGUAGAUAUCGAGAGGAACACUCGUGGCGAAGGCGGGUUCCUGGACAUUAACUGACGCUGAGGCACGAAGGCCAGGGGAGCGAAAGGGAUUAGAUACCCGAGUAGUC